UGGGUGCUGGGACUAAAGUACCAUUAAAGCCUUUUAACAACCUCCUCCUCCUUCUGCUUUUUAUGACAUUGAUUUACCUACUUUUGCAUAUGAAUAACAGUGUGUAAUGUGGCGAUCAGGGAGGAACUGUAUCCAUCUCAAGUGUCAGGCUUGGUGACAAAUGCCUUCACUUACCAAACUAAGCUAUCUUCCCAGACUGAUAGCAUCACUUUUUUUUUUAUAACCGAAUUGCUUUCCUCACACCCCAUUGGACAGAAUGGGCUCCCACAGCAGAGUGUCAGUCAUGUGCCAAGGAGAGCAAGUAGCAGGGGCAGUAGCAGGGGCAGUAGCAGGGGCAGUCUUUGGAAAAUGCUGUAGUUGUCCCUUAUUGUAGAAGGAUAUUUUCCACGACUUCCCUUGUAUGUCUAAAAAACGGUACCAAAUCCACAUAAACCAUGUUAUCUAUGAAAAAGUUUAACUCAUAAAUUAGGGACAGUAAUAGAUAAAUAAUAAGUACAGUAAUAUAGUAUACUUAUUAUAAUACUGUAGUAAAGAUUGUGUAAUGCAGUCUCUUGAAAUAGCUUACUGUGGUUGGGCAGUGGUGGUGCACACCUUUAAUCCCAGCACUCGGGAGGCAGAGGCAGGUGGAUCUCUGUGAGUUUUAAGCCAGCCUGGUCUACAGAGCCAGUUCCAGGACAGCCUCCAAAGCCACAGAGAAACCCUGUCUCAUAAAAAAAAAAUAGCUUACUGUGUAGUACUCAUCCUGGAUUUUAUGUUGACGUGAUGAACUGAGGGGCUUGACAUAGGCAUUGUGACACAGCACCAGGCCACUGCUGACCUUUCAAGCAUAUGUCGGAAGGCUCCCAUCCCCCAGGGGAUCCUGGAUCACGGGACCAUGAUGAUGCAAAGAAAUGAAGAGGACGGGCGCCGAGGACGAAGAGGACGGGCGCCGAGGACGCAGUGCACGAUGGGUGCUUAUCUCAUCCGGGAGCAGGCCAGGACAGAUUUUGGGACUUGCAUCAAAUCAAGCCUCCGUUUCUAAAUCUUGCUGGUGCCCUUCUCUCUCCCCAAGCAAUCUUCGGCUAUAUCUCUUUAGAAAUGUCACAGGCUAGCGAUUUCUUUUGGAGAUUAGAGAUCAGGAAGGGUUUUUGAAACCACAACUUCCACUUCUCAUGCGGGGACUGGAGGCGCAGGGCUUUCUCCUCUUUUGUUGUACCAAGGACGGCCACCUCUUGCUCGACCCACAUUCCUGCUCCCCUAAGACACCAGCAGAGUGUUCUUGGAUAGGUGUUCUUUGUUUUAUUUAUGUGUGCAUGUAUGCUUCAGGGAUUCUUUGCCGGAGGAGGUGUAAACAAACAUCUUCCUCUUUAUUGGACACCAAACCAAACCAAAAGUAACAUUUCACCAAAGUCCAACUUGGGGAACCAGUGUACCUGGGGGGUUUACCUAAGAGCACAGGUGAGGGGUUACUCACAGGAGCACGAGUAACCCCCCCCCAAACAGCCACAGCACUGGAUCUCACCCUAAAGUGGAUGACAACAUCUGUCCUAUCUUAGGGUUGAUCUUAGCUGCCCUCCUAUGCUCCAGCUUCCUGGGACACUCUUGAAAAAUGGACAAAUAGGUGGGCAUCACCACGGUUAUGUCGGGACUCUGACUGGGUGCCUUGAGGUACACACAUAAAAAUCAGGUUUUGUGGCUCACAACCACCUAUAACUCCAGCUCCGGGGGACCUAACACCUCUGGCCUCCAUGGACACUCGUACUAGUGUGUGCCUCCCUGUGUAUCUCAAGCUGGCCUGAAACUUACUAUGUAGCCCACAUGGACUUGAACUUGUGGCUCUCCUACUGCCUCAGCUUCCUGAGUGCUGGGGUUGCAGGCAAGUGCCACCAUUCCUGGUGUGGUUGGGCUUUCUCUGCCCAGUUCUCCCAUCCUCUCUCUGCUGAAGGGACAGACUCUUCCAUGAAAUCCCCGAUGAAAACUCACUGUGUCUCUGACCGCCCCCAUUGCUCCAGCUUCACCUUCGUGGGCUGUGGGCGGGCUUCCACUGUACCAUGGGUGAGUCACCCUUGUUUCUUUGUUCAUGCCUGGUUCAUGCCUCCUGGUUCCCCCACACAGGAAUUACUCCCCACUUAUGUCAUCAGUGCCCUGGAAUGUGCACUGUCCUCCAAGAUAGCCUUUCUCUCCACAUCCUCUACUGUUUUGUUUAAACUAACAAUUAUUUUCCCUCUUCGGAGGGUUAAAAUGAGAGUGUUUGUUGUGGAAAAUUUAGAUGCGAAAUGUAUGCAAAGAAAGAAAUACCCACAAUUCUCCAACCUAAUAUUUCUCCUCUCUGCUCCAUGCUCCAGGCUUUCACGCAUGCCUGGUAAUCCUUCUGCUUUAUUUUGACAAGACCUCACCAUGUCACCCAGGCUGGUUUCAAACCCAGAGUUCUGCCUCAACCUCCUGUGUGCAGGAUGGGGAUGGUGGUUACGGGCCAAGCGGCAGCAUGCUGGAUGCUAGCUUUUCCUUCUUUCUAAGAGACCUCCUGCCGUCUCCCCUCCCUUGUCGCUCUAUGAGUAAAUCUUGUCCCUUCUGUUGUAAAUUCAUUCUUUGAGAAAUCUUUCCUCCCCCGCAAGUCGGAACUCCUGUGACACACUCUGGACCCAGUAUUUUUCCUUAUAGAAGUAACCACAGCUAGAAAUAAACUGACAUUUGAUUUGUGUUCCUCUUGUUUGAUAUGUCUCUUAGAUACGUGACUUGAUGUACAAGUUAAGAAUGGCCUUUCCUGAGGGGCGUUGGUGGUGCACGCCUUUACUCGCAGCACUCAGAGGCAGAGGCAGGUGGAUCUUUGAGAGUUCGAGGCCAGCCUGGUCUACAGAGCGAGUUCCAGGACAGCCAGGAAACAGAGAAAUCCUGUCUCAAAAAAGAAAGAAAGAGAGAAAGCCCUCCCACCCCCGUGUGUGUAGUCUCAUCAAGCAGCUGAGGCUAACCUCAGACUGGUGACUCUCAUGCAAGCUGAGACAUGUAGACAUGGGCUACCACGCUUGCCAUCUUCUUGUAUGUCCUAACGGUCUCAAUAUGUCCAGUACACUGAAGACAUUAACACAUUGCACCAGGGCACUGUCCUAGAAAAACCAUGUGCCCACCCUCAGUUACUCUUUUUUUAUUUGUUUGUUUUGUGUUUUUUGAGACAGGGUUUCUCUGUAGCUUUGGAGCCUGUCCUGUUACUCACUCUGUAGACCAGGCUGGCCUGGAACUCACAGAGAUCUGCCUGCCUCUGCCUCCUGAGUGCUUGGGACUAAAGGUGUGUGCCACCACUGUCCAGCAUCCUCAGUUACUCUUUGUAAGAUCAAUUUGAAGACAGAGGAUGUAGUUCAAUUGGUAGACUAUUUAGUAAGUGGGCUGUGGUUUCAGUCCCCAGCACCAACUAGAAUAACUUGGGUGUGGCGGCACAUGCUUGUAAUCCCAGCACUCAGGAGGUAGAUGCAGAGGGAUCAGAAGUCUGAGGCCAUCUGCAGCCACAAGAUGUUGGUCAGCCAGGGAUGAAGACUCGGUUGCGACUAAGAAGAGGCCAGCCAUUGAGGGGAAAUCUUCUGGGACUUCCUCAGGGUCAGCCACACAAGCUGUGUUCCAGAGGUGGUAGGCAUGAAAACCUGAGUUCCAUGUCUGGGUCUCACACAGCAGAGGGAGAGAACCGAUUCCUGCAGGUUCUCCUUUGACCGAUACACCAUCAUGAGUCCCAAGUUUGGCUUGUGGCUCUUCCCUUCCUCCCCUCAGCUUCAGUAUUCCUGGACAAGAUCUUCUCAUCCUGGCUGGGCUGAAACUGGACUUGGGUCAAAAUCAACAGAAGCCUGAUUCCCUGACUUGGCUCCAUGUGGCUGUCUGUUUUUCUUUCCUGGACUCUGUGCUUUCUGUUUAGUGUUUUUCCAGCCGUUCACAGGUGUUCUGACCUUCCGGGCUUGAGGAUGAGGACACUGAAGACCCAUGCAGGGCGGGACUCCACUGGAGUGUUUCAGAUGACCCAGUUGUGUUGGCUGGUUUUGUCAACUUGGCACAAGCUAUAGUCAUUUUGGGAAGAGAGCCUUGAUGAGAAAACACCUCCAUGACUGGAGGUGUCCUGCUAAAGAUGACCCUGAACUCCCGAUUGAGCUUUCUCCCAAUCACAGCGUCACUACCACCUUGUUGGUCUGUGAUAGAGAGGUAUCACACACAAGACCAGCCCAUCUGCAUCCCCAGCCCCUGCCAUCCGUCACCAGGGCUGGGUGGCCAGCCAACACCUGCCACUAGAUGGCAGUGUAUGUGUAGGUGGGGAAAAGCCAACGCCAUCAUAGGAUCACGUGGAAGGCCUGGGAGCAGUGACUGGAACUGAUUGAGAGAACUGAGGAAGACUGUUGCCCUCCUUCCAACCUGGAGGAUGAAUCUGAGGAAGCUCUGAUCCCGAGGGUCGUGCCAACAGUCCCUGGGAGUCUCUGGAUGUCAUGUGUGAUGGGGACCUUUCCUCCCUCAGAAACUACAUGCUGGCCAAGGAAACCAGGUUGCCCCCAGGGCGCUGUGUGGCUGGGUUCUAAUAGCCCGGUGUGUAAAUUGAUCAAUGUCGAAAAUCCUCUUUGACCUAGUCAGUGAUUGCUUCCAGAGGCAGAACGCAAGAGCUGCCCUAGCUGGAUGCCUCUCUGAUGCUCUGAGUAUUUCUCAGUGGCACAGAGCUCUGGGCAGGACCCUGAAUAGGCGGUGGGCCCUCCUCUGCAACAUGUGAAGGCUUAUCUUAUCCAUGGGAAACACAUGCAAGGAUCCUCAAGUGUAAAUGAAAAUACCUGAAAAGAAGCUGUGUCUGGCUGUCAACACAAGGCUCCUGGAAAGAAUAUCAUCCUUUUUUCUUUUAAUAAAAAAAUUGUAUUUACUUAGAAACAUUCAGAAUGUCAACAAAACAGCUGCAAUUUUUUUUUGCAAUUACAGAGUGGGAUUCAGUUAACAAGACAAUGAUCUUUGUAUAAGUUGCAUCAGAGACAACUGAAGAUGAAAAAAAAAAAACCAAAAAACAAAAAGCUGCUGUCCCCAAAUAUGACUAACCAACAAGAACCUGCUUUAAAUUUUCAUGCCAAUUUACAACCCCCAGACUGUGCCAGGCAAGGUUGGUGGCUACUGAAAAUACCACCAGGACAGGGCUACCUAAAGACAUAUUCAGUAGUGUGUUAACUAUACAAAAAAAGACACUGUACAGUUUAAAAACAAAUCUUACACAGCCUUAUAUUUCAAUUUUUUUCUUUAAAAAGGAGUGAGUUGUGUACAGGGGGGUUAAAUGCUCUAUAGACAAAAAAAGUUUCGCUAAAACCAACUUUUCGUACUUCUUCAGCUUGGCAGCCAUCUUUUCACAGGGCUGCUUGUCCUCUGCAGCAGUGUCGUUCAGCGUUCUCCCAGUUUCUUUGCGACAUCACCAAUGGACAAGCCAGGGCAUUCGCCUUUGAUUUUUUGGGCGGCACUCAGAGCAGAACAAGAAGGCUGACGGAGGCCUCUUGGGUGCAUUGGGGUCCUUGAACUUCUUUUGGUCUCCCCUUUGGGGGGGGAUGUAGGUUUUCUUUUGGGGGGUGGGGUUUUAAGUCGGGGUUUCUCUGUGGCUUUGGAGGCUGUCCUGGAACUCGAUCUGUAGACCAAGCUGGUCUCGAACUCACAGAGAUCCGCCUGCCUCUGCCUCCCGAGUGCUGGGACUAAAGGCGUGCGGCAACACCACUCAGCUGGGACGUAGGUUUUCAUUUCUGUUUCAUAAUGGGCCUUGUCAGCCUUUGCCAUGUCUUCAAACUUCCCCUUUUCUUUAGCAGACAUGGUUUUCCACCUUUCUGAGCACUUCUUCGAGAACUCUGAGAAGUUGACAGAAGCAUCCGGGUGCUGCUUCUUGUGUUCCUCCUGGCAGGUUUGCACAAAGAACGCAUGUGAGGAUUUUUGCCUCUCAGCUUCUUAGGAUCUCCUUUGCCCAUGUUUAGUUGAUUUUUGUGGCAGGCACAGAGUCGCCCAUCGCCCGUCCUGCUCGCCCUUGCCCAGGCGCUGUCUCUAUGGAGCUCAAUGUACCACAAUGGCUGUGAGAGCAGGAGCCAGACUGGAAGGAAUUGCUGUGUCUGCAGAGACUGGUGGACCAAUUGGAAUUUCAGUACUGUAGAGAGGUCGAAUUUUGUAGGUUCAGAAUCUAAUUACUUUAUUUGGGCUAGUUUUAGCCUCCUGGAACAGCCAUACCUUGUCCACUCUUUAACACCUGGCGAUAACAAAUAAAAACUUCUUAGAAGCUAUUGACACAGCUGAUCAUCGGCUUCAGCAAUCCAAGAGCGCUCCCUGUCUCCAUGUAUCUGCCUCUUUGGUGAACCCAUCAACAUAUUUUAAACUUGUCUUGAUUUAUGACUUUCUUUGUGAAUGAAAAAAAAAGGGGGGAAAGAAAUUAAAAAGACACGACUCUACUUAGGUAAGGUGGAGGAGAAAGUGUGUUGCAGAUAAAAGGGAGAGCAUAGCCAGAGGCACAUAUCUGGGGGAACUCAGAGUGGACAUGACCCUGACCCAAGCCUUGUGAGGAGAGGGAAGGAGCCAGGAGAGAAAAGGGUGGACAAGAAGGCCAGGUAACCAAAUGGCUGGGUUAGAGAAGAGCCUCUGGGGGAAGGGUGGCCCAGCCCCUGGGAUGGAGAUUUCUGGGUAGAGGGUGAGGGUGUGCUAGCCAUACCCUGUAACAGGUAGGGACUGAGGGAUGCUGGGAGAACCUGGCAGCCAGGUCUGCUUUGAUAUGUUUAAAUAAGCCUCAGUCAUUUGUCCCAGGUUUGAGACCUAGCACUGUUCUGUAAAACUAUAAAAAACGCCAUAACAUGGAAUUUGGGGUGACAAAAAUAUGUGUUUCUGGGCAAUGACCACGAAUAAUGGCUCCAGAAUAAACUCUCUUUUCUUGUCGA